GAUGAACGCUGGCGGCGUGCCUAAUACAUGCAAGUCGAGCGGAAAGGCCUCUUCGGAGGUACUCGAGCGGCGGACGGCUGAGUAACGCGUAGGAACGUACCCCAAAGUGAGGGAUAACUGCUCGAAAGAGUAGCUAAUACCGCAUGUGGUCUAAGGAUUAAAGCUUCGGCGCUUUGGGAACGGCCUGCGUAAGAUUAGCUUGUUGGUGAGGUAAUGGCUCACCAAGGCGACGAUCUUUAGCUGGUCUGAGAGGAUGAUCAGCCAGACUGGGACUGAGAACGGCCCAGACUCCUACGGGAGGCAGCAGUAGGGAAUUUUCCACAAUGGGCGAAAGCCUGAUGGAGCAACGCCGCGUGCAGGAUGAAUGCCUUCGGUUGUAAACUGCUUUAUAUGUGACGAUUAUGACGGUAGCAUAUGAAUAAGGAUCGGCUAAUUCCGUG
rnacentral:rRNA from 1 species